AUCGUAACUCCUACGGGAGGCAGCAGUGGGGAGUUUUGGACAAUGGGGCAACCCUGAUCCAGCAAUGCCGCGUGAGUGAAGAAGGCCUUCGGGUUGUAAAGCUCUUUUGUCAGGGAAGAAACGGUAGUAGCUAAUAUCUAUUACUAAUGACGGUACCUGAAGAAUAAGCACCGGCUAACUACGUGCCAGCAGCCGCGGUAAUACGUAGGGUGCAAGCGUUAAUCGGAAUUACUGGGCGUAAAGCGUGCGCAGGCGGUUGUGUAAGUCAGAUGUGAAAUCCCCGGGCUCAACCUGGGAAUUGCAUGUGAGACCGCGAGGCUAGAGUGUGUCAGAGGGGGGUAGAAGUCCACGUGUAGCAGUGAAAUGCGUAGAUAUGUGGAGGAAUACCGAUGGCGAAGGCAGCCCCCUGGGAUAACACUGACGCUCAUGCACGAGAGCGUGGGGAGCAAACAGGAUUAGAAACCCGAGUAGUCCUAGAGC
rnacentral:rRNA from 1 species